GUUGGCACUGUGAGAGAAUAUAAAUGUGUAUAAAUAGGCCAUCAUGUCUGGGUUCUGGGAAUGAUGACUUUCUCUGAUUUCUGUCACUACAGAAUAGGUGGAUGACCUAUUUGUCAUCUCAUUGAGACAUAGUGACAUUGUACAGGUGAGCACCCAUACACAAACGAGAAUUUCUUGAUUGUACAGAGGAACACCAUACGCCCAGGGAAUCUCUGCAGCUUAUAAUGCUUACAGGACAAUGGGCUUAGGUGACACUUCACUACCAGGGGGCCAGGCUAGAUGCUCUUCAAGAACUUUGCUCAAGUGCUCAGAAUUUGUGCUGUAAAGUAGUUUCUUGUCCAUUUCCUGGAAACUUAUUUUAGCCCUGGCCACAAACCUCAGUGUGUUCUCAUCUGAACAUGAGUCAUCCCAGUUGUUACCCAGUAGCUACGUUACACACAGAGCCUGCAUUGCAAAGAGCUUUGACACAAUGUCCUUUCCUCCUGACAGCCAAGAAAGCUGCCGUGAAUUUACUGGGUGAUGAGAAGAAGAGCACCUAAACCACCCACAGGAUGAAACCCUCCUGCCCUCCGCACCUUCCUAUUGGAGCUUGAUGUUGUGUUGGGGACUGUGGUAUAAUCAUUUUAAUGUUGCCUUGGAAACAUUUUUGAUAUGUUAAAAAAUGGAAUGUGUGUUUCAGAUCAACAAUUACUGCUACUCUGGAGAGUCUGCCCACAGCCUGAAGAAAAUGAGCAUAGCCUUUCACUACGUUACUGCCUGUCCUGAAGAUGUGAUCUAUUGAAUGGAUAUGGAUGUAAAUAAAAUGCCAUUGUCUCACCGAA